AAACUAACAAGGAUUCCCCUAGUAGCGGCGAGCGAAGCGGGAAGAGCUCAAAUUUGUAAUCUGGCGUCUCUGGCGUCCGAGUUGUAAUCUAUAGAAACGUUUUCUGUGCCGGACCGCGUCCAAGUCCCUUGGAACAGGGUAUCAAAGAGGGUGACAAUCCCGUGCUUGACGCGACGACCGGGGCUAUGUGAUACGUUUUCUACGAGUCGAGUUGUUUGGGAAUGCAGCUCUAAAUGGGUGGUAAAUUCCAUCUAAAGCUAAAUACAGGCGAGAGACCGAUAGCGAACAAGUACCGUGAGGGAAAGAUGAAAAGCACUUUGGAAAGAGAGUUAAACAGUACGUGAAAUUGUUGAAAGGGAAACGAUUAAAGUCAGUCGUGUCGGUCGGUUUCAGCUUGGUCUCCAAGUGCAUUACCUUCCGACGGGUCAACAUCAGUUUGGGCCGGUUUAGAAGAGUGGAUUGAAGGUGGCACCCUCGGGUGUGUUAUAGCUUUCUACUGCAUAAACUGGCCUGGACUGAGGACUGCAGCUCGCCUUAAUGGCCGCCCCUCGGGGACGUUUCGAGCGUUGGGAUGUUGGCAUAAUGGCUUUAAAC
rnacentral:rRNA from 2 species